rnacentral:tRNA from 1 species
GCGAGAGUUGCAGCGGGAGGGGCGCAAGACCGCUUUACGACGCGGGUUAGGGCCGAUUCGCCGCCGGUCUACGGAACCGAAGGUCACAGGUCCGAAUCCUGUCGGGCGCG